rnacentral:rRNA from 1 species
UUUCCGUAGGUGAACCUGCGGAAGGAUCAUUGUCGAACCCUGCAAGGCAGAACGACCUGUGAACACGUAAAUACAACUGGGUGAUGGGGAGAUGGAUCUUGGUUCUGAUCCUCAACACCUCCUAGCGUGCCUGCAUGCUUUCUCUUUUGGGCUAUCAUGCAUGUAUUGUUGGAAUUUAACAAAACCCCGGCACGGCAUGUGCCAAGGAAAACAAUAAACAAGAAGGACUCGACCUGUUAUGCCCCGUUUGUGGUGUGCAUUCUGAGCGUGUCCUCCUUUGAAUCACAAACGACUCUCGGCAACGGAUAUCUCGGCUCACGCAUCGAUGAAGAACGUAGCAAAAUGCGAUACUUGGUGUGAAUUGCAGAAUCCCGUGAACCAUCGAGUUUUUGAACGCAAGUUGCGCCCGAAGCCAUCCGGUUCAGGGCACGCCUGCCUGGGCGUCACGCAUCGCGUCGCCCCCCAUCAUACUUCCCUUAAGGGUAGUCGUGGUGAUUGGGAGCGGAGAUUGGCUUCCCGUGCUUGUUGUGCGGUUGGUCAAAAUAGGAGUCCCCUUCGGUGGACACACGGCUAGUGGUGGUUGUAAAGACCCUUUUCUUCUGCUGUGUGUUGUGAGCUGCUAGGGAAACCCUCAAAAAAGAACCCAAUGUAUCGUUCUAGGACGAUGCUUCGAUCGCGACCCCAGGUCAGGCGGGACUACCCGCUGAGUUUAA